rnacentral:rRNA from 1 species
UACGUAGGGUGCAGGCGUUAAUCGGAAUUACUGGGCGUAAAGCGUGCGCAGGCGGUCUUUUAAGUCAGAUGUGAAAUCCCCGGGCUUAACCUGGGAACUGCGUUUGAAACUGGAAGGCUUGAGUGUGGCAGAGGGGGGUGGGAAUUCCACGUGUAGCAGUGAAAUGCGUAGAGAUGUGGAGGAACACCGAUGGCGAAGGCAGCCCCCUGGGCUAACACUGACGCUCAUGCACGAAAGCGUGGGGAGCAAACAGG